UGAAUACGAAAUGCUACGGCAUUGAAGUGAUCUAUGCCAUGCUUCCAAGAAAAUCUCGUCAUAUCUUAAACAAUAGAUGCCUGUACCUUAAACCGACACAGGUAGGUAGGUAGAGUAUACCAAGGGGCGCGAGAUAACUCUCUCUAAGGAACUCGGCAAAAUAACCUCGUAACUUCGGAAGAAGAGGUACCCUUGAAAAAGGGUUGCAAUAACCAGACCCUGGCGACUGUUUACCAAAAACACAGGUCUCCGCUAAUUCGUAAGAUCAAGUAUGGAGGCUGACGCCUGCCCAGUGCCGGAAGGUUAAAGAAGUUGGUCAAUCUUUGGAUGAAGCUGGCGACUGAAGCCCCGGUGAACGGCGGCCGUAACGAUAACGGUCCUAAGGUAGCGAAGUUCCUUGUCGGGUAAGUUCCGACCCGCACGAAAGGCGUAACGAUCAGGGUGCUGUCUCGGAGAGAGAUUCGGCGAAAUAGACAUGUCUGUGAAGAUGCGGACUACCUGCACCUGGACAGAAAGACCCUAUGAAGCUUUACUGUAUCUUGGAAUUGGGUUUGGGCCUUGCUUGCCAGGAUAGGUGGUAGGCUAUGAAAAUAUUCUUGCGGGAAUGUUGGAGCCAACGGUGAGAUACCACUCUAGUAAGGCUAAAAUUCUAACUCUGAACCGUUAUCCGGUCAGAGAACAGUUUCAGGUGGGCAGUUUGACAGGGGCGGUCGCCUCCUAAAAGGUAACGGAGGCGCGCAAAGGUUCCCUCAGGCUGGUUGGACAUCAGUCGUAGAGUGUAAAGGCAUAAGGGAGCUUGACUGCGAGACCCACAAGUCGAGCAGAGACGAAAGUCGGCCUUAGUGAUCCGACGGUUCCACGUGGAAGGGCCGUCGCUCAACGGAUAAAAGUUACUCUAAGGAUAACAGGCUGAUCUCCCCCAAGAGUUCACAUCGACGGGGAGGUUUGGCACCUCGAUGUCGGCUCAUCGCAUCCUGGGGCGGUAGUACGUCCCAAGGGUUGGGCUGUUCGCCCAUGAAAGCGGUACGCGAGCUGGGUUCAGAACGUCGUGAGACAGUUCGGUCCAUAUCCGGUGCAGGCGUUAGAGCAUUGAAAGGAGUCCCCCUUAGUACGAGAGGACCGGGGGGAAUACACCGCUGGUGUACCAGUUAUCGUGCCAACAGUAAACGCUGGGUAGCCAUGUGUAGCGUGGAUAACUGCUGAAAGCAUCUAAGUAGGAAGCCCACCUUAAGAUGAGUGCUCUCACCGCUAUAAGCGGGUAAGGUCACGGUAAGAACAACCGUUAUAUAGGCAUUAAGUAUACGUGCAGUAAUGCAUUUAGCUAAGAUGUACUAACAGACCGAGGGCUUG
rnacentral:rRNA from 1 species